rnacentral:lncRNA from 1 species
GCAUUCUAGGUGUAUCGGUCUUCUAUUCGUAAUUCCCUUUCUCUCCUCCGCAUCCUUCAGAGCAUGCUGUUCCGCUGGGGGUGAUAGCCCCCCUUGUCGGCCGGCUGAGAGGCCCCGGUAAACAGAGCUCCAUGGCCGUCUACAGGGACAGACCUGAACUCCAUGCCCAGUGGGACCAUUCCGAUUCGGGCAGGGCUGUGGUUAGAGGAAGCCUACCCCUAGAGCUCAGAGACUGGCAGCAGCGGACAGGCAAAGCACUCGGCACCUUGAUCAUGGGUCCUGAUGGUGAGGUGAUGCAGAUGUCCCUGUGGGACCCAGCCAACGUGGCCGACGUUGAGGCUACUGGGCUGGACCAGGCCUCAACAGACCACGCACUGAAGGGCCUGACCACAGAGGGGAAGGGACCCUGGGUCGAACUGAUGCAAACCAAGCCUACGACCACAGGAGAGUCCAGUAAAGGAUCUGGAGCCAACAUGAAACUGACGGGUCUUGUCCAACGACUGGUGGGAUCCCAUCGACAAACCAACCCUCCAGAAGACAAGCAACUGAUGGUUGGAGUUGAAGGAGACAUGGCUGCUGUCAGGUACAACCUUUGCAGCAGUUCAGGUAAACAGCCAGUAGCGAUUAACCAGCAGAUAGCAGGUAUCUGUUCGCUAGGAGCCGUUAGUCAGCACCUCUGUUUCUCUGUUAGCCUUUGUCAUUGUAAUAUCUGUAGAUGUAAGAAGCGCAUAUAA